CUCUCCGUCCCUAAAGCUCUCCUCAGCCAGCAAGACCACACGCUGCUGCAGCAAGUCAACCAGGUCCUUCAGGGGAAACACAUGGAGAGCAGCUCAGCCUCUGAUCGACAUCUAAUUCAUACUCUGUUCACCUGCUGCUGGUGGAUCCUGCUAAUGAGUUGGUCCUGCUUCAUCCUGAGCUCCAGGUUCAUCUGCUCCUGGUGGAGGAGCUGAGCGGUCGUAGCCUCCAGUUCAUUCUGCAGCUUCCUCUCCCUGUCUCUGGACACCAGGAACUCCCUGUCGAGCACCGCUGCAGCCACAGAGAACAGAACCAAAGUCAGGCUGGACCGCUGAACCAAAGCUGUAGAUGAUUUUCAUUAAAACAGAAGAUCUGCUGAAUCUGUGCCACUUGGACGUGUUUUAAUGAAAGUUAAUGAAAAAGAACAUUUUUUUACUGCCCACAGCAUAAAAUAAUGUUUUAAACCAUAACACUUUAAAUGUAGGGUCGUAUAUCAGCUGCUGACAUUUCUGGCAUUGAAAAACUUUCCUCUCAUUGGAGUUUUAAGACAUUCCCACCCUCCUCACCUCAUUGCUGUGCUCAUGUGGGAGUUAAGUGUCUUAAUAUAUUUUUUACACGCAUUUCUUUUGGAUCUCUGCUCCACAGCCGCUCUCAUCUCCCAUGUGCAAAUGUCCCUUUAUUGUCCACAUCUCGUACUGUAGAUGUGAUUAUUAUGAUUAUAUCUCCUACUGGUCAUCAACAGAGGUUGAUAAAGGUCAGAUUUCUCUCUUACAGUUCCCACACUACUACUAGGCGUCUGUUUUCUCAUCUCUUCUUAGUAUUAUUAUACUAUUCCAUAUUGUGUGCUAUUGUUUGGUUUUAACUAAAUAUACUGCUGUUAUACCUAAAAUGUGCCCCUUAAUGAAGAAAGUCUUGACAGAGCAGACCUUUUUAAUUUAAAAUAUGUAUUAUAUGCAUAUUGUAAAUUUGAUGGUUUACAGCUGGCAAACCUAGUCAUUGAAGUUUAGCACUGU